rnacentral:rRNA from 1 species
AGUGAACGCUGGCGGUAGGCCUAACACAUGCAAGUCGAACGGCAGCACAGAGGAGCUUGCUCCUUGGGUGGCGAGUGGCGGACGGGUGAGGAAUACAUCGGAAUCUACUCUGUCGUGGGGGAUAACGUAGGGAAACUUACGCUAAUACCGCAUACGACCUACGGGUGAAAGCAGGGGACCUUCGGGCCUUGCGCGAUUGAAUGAGCCGAUGAGGGAUUGGCUAGUUGGCGGGGUAAAGGCCCACCAAGGCGACGAUCCGUAGCUGGUCUGGGAGGAUGAUCAGCCCAACGGGAACGGAAACACGGUCCAGACUCCGACGGAGGGCAGAAGUGGGGAAUAUUGGAAAAGGGGCGCAAGCUUGUCCCAGCCAUACCGCGUGGGUGAAGAAGGCCUUCGGGUUGUAAAGCCCUUUUGUUGGGAAAGAAACCCAGCUGGCUAAUACCCGGUUGGGAUGACGGUACCCAAAGAAUAAGCACCGGCUAACUUCGUGCCAGCAGCCGCGGUAA